rnacentral:lncRNA from 1 species
GGACAGACUGCUGCCACGCAGGCUGGCUAGGUUGCUCUGCAAAUAUGCAACAAGAUACAAAAAUCCAAAGAAGGAGACAAUCAUGACUUCGCAACAUGGAAGAUGUCUCUCUGGCCUGUUUCUGCCGAGGAAGCUGGUCCUGACCUGGACUUGGAGAUGGGCGUUGAUGAAAACAGCGGCAGUAGGGAAUGGAAUUCUGGAAGCAGACUCAUCCGCUUAUAUUUAUGAGUGGGGUGAGAGGCGAGGGGUGGUGCAGUUCUCCAGCACUGGGGUUGAAGGACAAAAAUCAGGAGUCAGAAGUUUACUUCCCAG